rnacentral:rRNA from 1 species
GACGAACGCUGGCGGCGUGCUUAACACAUGCAAGUCGAACGGAAAGGCCUGCUUUCCCUUGUGGAUUGCGGGUACUCGAGUGGCGAACGGGUGAGUAACACGUGAGUGAUCUGCCCCCAACUUGGGUAUAAGCCUGGGAAACUGGGUCUAGUUCCCGAUAGGACUGCAGGGUGGUGCCUGUGGUGGAAAACGAUUUUCUAGUGGUUGGGGAUGAGCUCGCGGCCUAUCAGCUUGUUGGUGGGGUAAUGGCCUACCAAGGCGGCGACGGGUAGCCGGCCUGAGAGGGUGGACGGCCACAUUGGGACUGAGAUACGGCCCAGACUCCUACGGGAGGCAGCAGUGGGGAAUAUUGCACAAUGGGCGGAAGCCUGAUGCAGCGACGCCGCGUGGGGGAUGACGGCCUUCGGGUGGUAAACUCCUUUCGACCGCGAGGAAGCCACCUGGUUGGAAGGGUGGUGACGGUAGUGGUAGAAGAAGCACCGGCUAACUACGUG